GACGAACGCUGGCGGCGCGCCUAACACAUGCAAGUCGAACGAGCGAGAGAGAGCUUGCUUUCUCGAGCGAGUGGCGAACGGGUGAGUAACGCGUGAGGAACCUGCCUCAAAGAGGGGGACAACAGUUGGAAACGACUGCUAAUACCGCAUAAGCCCACGACCCGGCCUCGGGUAGAGGGAAAAGGAGCAAUCCGCUUUGAGAUGGCCUCGCGUCCGAUUAGCUAGUUGGUGAGGUAACGGCCCACCAAGGCGACGAUCGGUAGCCGGACUGAGAGGUUGAACGGACACAUUGGGACUGAGACACGGCCCAGACUCCUACGGGAGGCAGCAGUGGGGAAUAUUGCACAAUGGGGGAAACCAUGAUGCAGCGACGCCGCGUGGAGGAAGAAGGUCUUCGGAUUGUAAACUCCUGUUGUUGAGGAAGAUAAUGACGGUACUCAACAAGGAAGUGACGGCUAACUACGUG
rnacentral:rRNA from 1 species